rnacentral:rRNA from 1 species
CCCUUAGAUGUUCUGGGCCGCACGCGCGCUACACUGAUGCAUUCAACGAGUCUAAAACCUGCUCUGAUAGGGGUGGGUAAUCUUUUGAACGUGCAUCGUGAUUGGGAUAGAUGAUUGCAAUUUUUCAUCUUCAACGAGGAAUGCCUAGUAAACGCAAGUCAUCAGCUUGCAUUGAUUACGUCCCUGCCCUUUGUACACACCGCCCGUCGCUCCUACCGAUUGAAUGAUCCGAUGAAUAUCAUGGAUUGAGGAUGCAAGCAGGUUCGCCUGUCUUCAUCUUCGAGAAGUGAAGUAAAUCUUAUCAUUUAGAGGAAGGAGAAGUCGUAACA